AGAGUUUGAUCCUGGCUCAGAGUGAACGCUGGCGGUGCGCCUAAAACAUGCAAGUCGAAUGGGUUCAGACCCAUGGCGAACGGCUGCGUAACACGUGGGUACCUACCCCGAACUCAGGGAUAACCCUCCGAAAGGAGGGCUAAUACCGGAUGCCCCCGCACGCGAAAGCGCUGCGGGGAAAGAUUUUUCGGUUCGGGAGGGGCCUGCGGCCUAUCAGUUAGUUGGUGAGGUAACGGCUCACCAAGACGAUGACGGGUAGCUGGUCUGAGAGGACGACCAGCCAGAAUGGAACUGAGACACGGUCCAUACUCCUACGGGAGGCAGCAGUUAGGAAUCUUCCGCAAUGGGCGAAAGCCUGACGGAGCGACACCGCGUGAAGGAUGAAGCCCUUUUCGGGUGUAAACUUCUGUUCUGAGGGACGAAAUUUUUGACGGUACCUCAGGAGAAAGUAUCGGCAAACCCUGUGCCAGCAGCCGCGGUAAUACAGGGGAUACAAGCGUUACUCGGAAUUACUGGGCGUAAAGCGUCUGUAGGUUCUUACAAAAGUCUGGGGUAAAAACUCAGGGCUCAACCCUGAGAGCGUCCCGGAAACUCUGUAGGUUGAGCAGUAGAGAGGCAUCUGGAAUGCCGCAUGUAGGAGUAAAAUCCGUAGAUAUGCGGUAGAACGCCAAAAGCGAAGGCAGGAUGCUAGCUACUCGCUGACACUGAGAGACGAAAGCGUGGGGAGCGAAGGGGAUUAGAUACCCCCGUAGUCCACGCCCUAAACGAUGCGAGCUCGAUGUGGGAGGUUCUCAAUUGCCUUCCGUGUCCAAGCUAACGCGGUAAGCACACCGCCUGGGAAGUACGGUCGCAAGACUAAAACUCAAAGGAAUAGACGGGGACCCACACCAGCGGUGGAGCAUGGGGUUUAAUUCGAUAGUAAGCGAAGAACCUCACCUAGGCUUGACAUCUCGGGAAUCCGGCAGAAACGUCGGAGUGCCGCAAGGAACCCGAAGACAGGCGCUGCACGGUUGUCGU
rnacentral:rRNA from 1 species